rnacentral:rRNA from 1 species
GUAGUCAUAUGCUUGUCUCAAAGAUUAAGCCAUGCAUGUCUAAGUAUAAGCAAUUAUACAGCGAAACUGCGAAUGGCUCAUUAAAUCAAUUAUCGUUUAUUUGAUAGUACCUUACUACAUGGAUAACCGUGGUAAUUCUAGAGCUAAUACAUGCUAAAAAUCCCGACUUCGGAAGGGAUGUAUUUAUUAGAUUAAAAACCAAUGCCCUUCGGGGCUCUCUGGUGAUUCAUAAUAACUUCUCGAAUCGCACGGCCUUGCGCCGGCGAUGGUUCAUUCAAAUUUCUGCCCUAUCAACUUUCGACGGCUGGGUCUUGGCCAGCCGUGGUGACAACGGGUAACGGGGAAUG